rnacentral:snRNA from 1 species
AUACUUACCUGGCAGGGGAGAUACCAUGAUCAUGAAGGUGAGGCCUAUGCAUUGCACUCUGGAUGUGCUGACCCCUGCGGUUUCCCCAAAUGUGGGAAACUCGACUGCAUAAUUUGUGGUAGUGGGGGAUUGCAUUCAUGCUCCCUCCUA